rnacentral:rRNA from 1 species
UACGUAGGGUGCGAGCGUUGUCCGGAAUUACUGGGCGUAAAGAGCUCGUAGGUGGUUUGUCGCGUUGUUCGUGAAAACUCACAGCUUAACUGUGGGCGUGCGGGCGAUACGGGCAGACUGGAGUACUGCAGGGGAGAUUGGAAUUCCUGGUGUAGCGGUGGAAUGCGCAGAUAUCAGGAGGAACACCGGUGGCGAAGGCGGGUCUCUGGGCCGAUACUGACGCUGAGGAGCGAAAGCGUGGGGAGCGAACAGG